rnacentral:rRNA from 1 species
UACGUAGGGGGCAAGCGUUGUCCGGAUUUAUUGGGCGUAAAGAGCGUGUAGGCGGCCAGGUAGGUCAGCUGUGAAAACUCGAGGCUCAACCUCGAGACGUCGGUUGAAACCACCUGGCUAGAGUCCGGAAGAGGAGAGUGGAAUCCCUGGUGUAGCGGUGAAAUGCGCAGAUAUCAGGAAGAACACCCGUGGCGAAGGCGGCUCUCUGGGACGGUACUGACGCUGAGACGCGAAAGCGUGGGGAGCGAACAGG